rnacentral:rRNA from 1 species
AUUGAACGCUGGCGGCAGGCCUAACACAUGCAAGUCGAGCGAGCGGCGGACGGGUGAGUAAUGUCUGGGAAACUGCCUGAUGGAGGGGGAUAACUACUGGAAACGGUAGAUAAUACCGCAUACCAUCAGAGGUGCCAAGAUGGGAUUGGCUAGUGGGUGGGGUACCGGCUCCCCUAGGCGACGAUCCCUAGCUGGUCUGAGAGGAUGACCAGCCACACUGGAACUGAGACCCGGUCCCUACUCCUACGGGAGGCAGCAUUGGGGAGUAUUGCACAAUGACGGCAAGCCGUAGGCAGCCAUGCCGCUUGUGUGAAGAAGGCCUUCGGGUUGUAAAGCACUUUCAGCGGGGAGGCGUUACCCGCAGAAGAAGCACCGGCGAACUCCGUGCCAGCAGCCGCGGUAAUAC